rnacentral:rRNA from 1 species
CACACCGCCCGCCACAUCACGAAAGUGGGCUGUACUAGAAGCCGGUGGGCUAACCGCAAGGGAGCAGCCGUCCAAGGUAUAACUCAUGAUUGGGGUG